rnacentral:rRNA from 1 species
AAAAGGUAGCAUAAUAAGUUGGCUUAUAAUUGAAGUCUAGUAUGAAUGGGAAUCCGGGUAUUAACUGUCUUAAACAAUUUUCUUAAAAAUUACUUAGUAAGUGAAAAUACUUACCUAAAGAUGAAAGACGAGAAGACCCUCGAAAUUUUUAUACAAAACUUCCAAGAUCUAUUUUGUUGGGGCGACAAAGGAAUAAAAAAUUGAUCUUCCUUUAAUCACAAGAAACUAAUUUGUUGAAAGAUUAAAUUACUCUAGGGAUAACAGCAUUAUUUAUAUUAAGUUUGUGACCUCGAUGUUGGACUAGGGAAUACCUUACGUAGAAGGUAAGUUAAUUAGCUCUGUUCGAGCAUCUUCCCCUACAU